rnacentral:rRNA from 1 species
GAUGAACGCUGGCGGCGUGCCUAAUACAUGCAAGUCGAGCGAACAGACGAGGCGUUUGUUCCUCUCACGUUAGCCGCGGACGGGUGUGAAACAUGUGUAUACCCUACCUAUAAUACUGAGAUAAUCUCGGGAAUCCGGAGCUUACACCGGAGAAUAUCUUGAAGCGUAUGGUGCAAUAGUGAAAGACGGCUUUGCUGGCACUUAUCGAUGCAUCCGGGCCGCUUUAGCUAGUUGGUAAGGUAACGGCUUAUCAAGGCAACCAUGCGUAGGCGAGGUGAGAGGGUGGUCGGCGACACUGGAGCUGAGACGCGGUCCAGAGUCCUACGGGAGGCAGCAGUAGGGAAUCUGCGGCAGUGGGGGAGAACCUGGCAGAGCAGCGCCGCGUGAGAGGUGAAGAUCUUCGGUUCGUGAAGCUCGGUUAUUGGGGGAGAACAGAUGUGUAAGGAAAUGUAGACGUCUUGACGGUACCUGGUCAAGAAGCCACGGCUAACUACGUG